rnacentral:lncRNA from 1 species
GAAAAUAUGUAGACCUAACAUCUAUCUCCCUGCUCCAGUUUCAAGAGAAAAGACCUUAUUCAGAGAAAUAUUUAGAAGACUCUUGUGGAAUUCUUGCUGUGAGUGGUUUUUCCUUCCCUGCCAUUGGUGCGACUGUUUCCCCCUUCCGUCAAAUUGCUGUCUAGAUGUUUCUCUCUGACCCCAAUUUUCUCGGAGUUUGGGAUUAUCAAUCUAAAAUCAGAGGCAGGGAGGAACUUGGAUUGUCCUUCAGUAAAAUUCCACUUUGAUGCGCAAAGCGAACUUGAAUUUCUGCUUGGCCUACCACAGGCCUGCAACAUGCACUUUCUCCUCGAGGGAACUGCCACUCACUGACACGGACAACAGUAAAGGAACUUGGUCUUCACUAUGCCUCAUAGUGGUGGGUCACACUGCCCAGGAGGAACCCGCAAUGAGACCGGCAAAUGCCUUAACCAUCUCAUUGUCUCAUCAGGAAGAAGCUUAAAUGACUCUUCUUGCUCACAUACUUCCUGGGCAAACAUGUCUGCUCUGUUGGGAUAAAGGACGCUCUAGACCAGGCUCUGCUGAAAGAUCCAGGGCAAAGGUUCCUGACAAGACUAUGUCCAGCCUCAAAUAAGGCCACAGAAGAGCCCAGGCUCGCUGACGAGCACCGGCUCCGAGGCAGUCACAUCAGGAGACAGAAACAGACAUGUUGGUGCUGCCCUCUCAGGUCAGUGCAAAUGCCACUUGAGGAGGGCUGAGAGCUUUGCAGCAUAAAAUGACCAGAACAAGGAGAAACACAGAUGCAAUGGCAAUAGCUGGCAAUUCGCACAUGGCGUCAAACACCACUGCCACAGAAGCUUUUUAGCUACAAGCCACGCUAUGCAACCUUUAAGCAAAACAUUAUUGAUUUUGUGGUUGUAAAAACAUACCUUCAACUGCAGAACUCAGUUUUAUGACACCUUGAAUAAAAACAAAAAGUGGCAGUUAUAUAAUGGACCCAAAUCGCCUUUUCCAGGCUUCUCAUAACACACGCAUGCUUCAGAUUUGGAUUUUUCUUUUUCUGCUGGCAUUGCAAGAACGUAACUAAACAAAUAUCAACUUCAAAAAUAAAAUAAUUUUUAGUCUUAACUAGGUCUCAUGGAUGUCUUCUUUUCCCCCACUAAAACCAUUUGGGGAAAUUUUUCACUAAAAAUGGGAUCAAACAUGUUUUUGGAUGGGACAAAGGCCAAGUCUGCCUGAGUGACUAUUUCUGUGUAUAAAUUAUACCAGAUUAUGGAUCAAUAAAAGUUCACACAAUAGGAUGCUAGGGACCAGCACUUCCUCUUUGAUACUGUAUCUAGAGAUCAUCUGAUGCAUGUUAGGACAGAGUUUCUGUUGAAACAUGUAACAGGUGGUUAAAAACCAUGGUGUGAUCUGGUAACUUUCUUCUCUGGGGUGGUUGGGCCAGAGCCCUUUUCUUGGUCUGAUGGGUUUAGAUUUCAGCUCCCUCAAGUCAGAGAGUGAACGGGUUAUCUGAGCAAGUCAAGUUGUUCAUGAAGCAAGUCAGUACCCUUGACUGAUAUUUAUGCACCUUUGCAGUGAAUUUUUUUUUUUUUUGAGACAGAGUCUCGCUCUGUCACCCAGGCUGGAGUGCAGUGGCGCAAUCUCGGAUCUUGGAUCUCGGCUCACUGCAACCUCUGCCUCCUGGGUGGACGCCAUUCUCCUGCCUCAGCCUCCCGAGUGGCUGGGACUACAGGCGC